rnacentral:rRNA from 1 species
GAUGAACGCUGGCGGCGUGCCUAAUACAUGCAAGUCGAGCGAACAGACGAGGAGCUUGCUCCUCUGACGUUAGCGGCGGACGGGUGAGUAACACGUGGAUAACCUACCUAUAAGACUGGGAUAACUUCGGGAAACCGGAGCUAAUACCGGAUAACAUGUUGAACCGCAUGGUUCAACAGUGAAAGACGGUCUUGCUGUCACUUAUAGCUGGAUCCGCGCCGCAUUAGCUAGUUGGUAAGGUAACGGCUUACCAAGGCAACGAUGCGUAGCCGACCUGAGAGGGUGAUCGGCCACACUGGAACUGGGACACGGUCCAGACUCCUACGGGAGGCAGCAGUAGGGAAUCUUCCGCAAUGGGCGAAAGCCUGACGGAGCAACGCCGCGUGAGUGAAGAAGGUCUUCGGAUCGUAAAACUCUGUUAUUAGGGAAGAACAAAUGUGUAAGUAACUAUGCACGUCUUGACGGUACCUAAUCAGAAAGCCACGGCUAACUACGUG